rnacentral:rRNA from 1 species
GACGAACGCUGGCGGCGUGCUUAACACAUGCAAGUCGUACGGUAAGGCCCUUUCGGGGGUCCCCGAGUGGCGAACGGGUGAGUAACACGUGAGUAACCUGCCCACAACUUUGGGAUAACGCUAGGAAACUGGUGCUAAUACUGGAUAUGUGCCCCUGCUGCAUGGUGGGGGUUGGAAAGCUCCGGCGGUUGUGGAUGGACUCGCGGCCUAUCAGCUUGUUGGUGGGGUAGUGGCCUACCAAGGCGGCGACGGGUAGCCGGCCUGAGAGGGUGACCGGCCACAUUGGGACUGAGAUACGGCCCAGACUCCUACGGGAGGCAGCAGUGGGGAAGAUUGCACAAUGGGCGCAAGCCUGAUGCAGCAACGCCGCGUGCGGGAUGACGGUCUUCGGGUUGGAAACCGCUUUCAGCAGGGACGAAGCUUUUUGUGACGGUACCUGCAGAAGAAGCACCGGCUAACUACGUG